UGUAGAACAGUUUGUAAAAACUGAUAAGAAAACAACAGCUCCAAGCAGUUUCUUGAAUCCUUUAGAUCUCUCAAUCUGCUUAUCAGAAAACUACACCAACGAGGACUCAGAGGAUUCAUCAGAUGAAGAUUAUGAGCCUAGUUUCAUAAUGACCAUGAGAGAGGACACUCAGACUGAAGCCAUGGUUGAGGACUCUGAAAAUUAGGAUAGCUGUGAUGAGGAAUCAAAUGAUGAUCUUCGCC